UACGUAGGGGGCAAGCGUUUGUCCGGAAUCAUUGGGCGUAAAGAGCGUGUAGGCGGCUUGGUAAGUCCGCUGUGAAAGUCCAGGGCUCAACCCUGGAAAGCCGGUGGAAACUGUCAAGCUUGAGUCCGGAAGAGGCGAGUGGAAUUCCUGGUGUAGCGGUGAAAUGCGCAGAUAUCAGGAGGAACACCAAUGGCGAAGGCAGCUCGCUGGGACGGUACUGACGCUGAGACGCGAAAGCGUGGGGAGCAAACAGG
rnacentral:rRNA from 1 species